AUACGAGGCCCCGAGGCGAAACGAGAGUGAAGGCCGGCAGCGGGAUCCGGCCGAGGCGGGAUCCGGUCGCCAGGCKACCGGCGCACCGUCGCCCCGCCGCGAGUCCUUUCCCUUUCUCCCCCCCCCCUCCGUUUCGCGGGGGGGUAAGGGCGGGGGGAAAAGAGACUGCGGCGGAGGAAGAGCGGACACGAUAGGAUAUGCCCGAGCAGGACGAAGCCAGAGGAAACUCUGGUGGAGGUCCGCAGCGAUUUCUGACGUGCAAAUCGAUCGUCCGACUCGGGUA
rnacentral:rRNA from 1 species